AUGUCUAGGAGCAAAUUGAUUUUAAUAUUUCAGAAGAUUACUAUUAUGUUUCAAAUCAUCAAGAUGCUUUUUCCUGAAAUUAACAGUAUAUAAUAAUAGUGUUGACAUAUAUAGGUAUAUUUAUUUUUUUGAGAGGGCUAUGGAAAUUGAAUGUUACCUAUAGUUUAUUUUUUAUAGACCAAAAUUAAAAAGUAAAAAACUACACACUACCAAUAGGUAGAAUAAAAAUACCAAUUUUG